UACGGAAGGUCCGGACGUUAUCCGGAUUUAUUGGGUUUAAAGGGUGCGUAGGCGGCGCUUCAGGUCAGCGGUAAAAGCCCGGGGCUCAACCCCGGCCCGCCGUUGAAACUGGCUGGCUUGAGUUGGGGAAAGGCAGGCGGAAUGCGCGGUGUAGCGGUGAAAUGCAUAGAUAUCGCGCAGAACCCCGAUUGCGAAGGCAGCCUGCCGGCCCCACACUGACGCUGAGGCACGAAAGCGUGGGUAUCGAACAGG
rnacentral:rRNA from 1 species